UACGUAGGUGGCAAGCGUUGUCCGGAAUUAUUGGGCGUAAAGCGCGCGCAGGCGGCCCUCUUAAGUCUGAUGUGAAAGCCCCCGGCUCAACCGGGGGAGGGCCAUUGGAAACUGGGAGGCUUGAGUAUAGGAGAGAAGAGUGGAAUUCCACGUGUAGCGGUGAAAUGCGUAGAGAUGUGGAGGAACACCAGUGGCGAAGGCGACUCUUUGGCCUAUAACUGACGCUGAGGCGCGAAAGCGUGGGGAGCAAACAGG
rnacentral:rRNA from 1 species